CUUCCUCUGGGGACCCCAUUGUGAUGUGAUGCUGUAUCUCCCUAAGUCACUCCCCCACUUUAAGGCCCAGCCACAGCCCCUGUGAGCUCAAGGCCCUCCCCUAAUAAGACUCAUCCCAGAGUCUAAUCCUGUGGCAGCUCCUUCCCUGAACCUGCGGCAGGUGUUCAGGCUGAUCUGACCCCGUCAUACGCACAGGUAGCGGGUGCUUCUCCUGUGUGCGUACUCAGAGCGGUGCACAGGUAAUCUCUCCCAGGCCCUGACUUGUGAUAUCCCGGGAUCUUGUCUAAUUCUAUGGCAAAAGGCAGAAGAUGAAGGAAGUAAGGGACCGAGGCUCCAUAAGACGAAUCAGGAAACAGGAACCCUCAACACCAGAGGUCUGUGCUACAGCAAGCUGACAAGCCACUAUCCUGUAACCUCAGAUUGUGGAUGACACUUGAGGGCUCAAGAGCUUCUGACCACCCUGGCACAACUGGGAUGGAGGUGUUAACCAAUGUGGCCGGCAACGGAGGGGGCAUCACAGAAGCCCUGAGAGACAGCUCCAUAGGAAGAUGGCCCAAAUGAAGCGAUGGAGUCUCAGGGAGAAGAGCCCACCCAGCUGCUGUGGAAGAGUCUCUGCUGGAGGUGGUGGGGUGGUGUUUAUUAAAUUUAAAAACUGGC
rnacentral:lncRNA from 1 species